UACGUAGGGCGCAAGCGUUGUCCGGAAUUAUUGGGCGUAAAGAGCUCGUAGGCGGCCUGUUGCGUCCGCUGUGAAACUCCCGGGGCUUAACCCCGGGCCUGCAGUGGAUACGGGCAGGCUGGAGGCAGGCAGGGGAGAACGGAAUUCCCGGUGUAGCGGUGGAAAUGCGCAGAUAUCGGGAGGAACGACCGGUGGCGAAGGCGGUUCUCUGGGCCUGUUCUGACGCUGAGGAGCGAAAGCGUGGGGAGCGAACAGG
rnacentral:rRNA from 1 species